rnacentral:rRNA from 1 species
CUGCGGAGGGAUCAUUACACAAAUAUGAAGGCGGGCUGGAAUCUCUCGGGGUUACAGCCUUGCUGAAUUAUUCACCCUUGUCUUUUGCGUACUUCUUGUUUCCUUGGUGGGUUCGCCCACCACUAGGACAAACAUAAACCUUUUGUAAUUGCAAUCAGCGUCAGUAACAAAUUAAUAAUUACAACUUUCAACAACGGAUCUCUUGGUUCUGGCAUCGAUGAAGAACGCAGCGAAAUGCGAUAAGUAGUGUGAAUUGCAGAAUUCAGUGAAUCAUCGAAUCUUUGAACGCACAUUGCGCCCUUUGGUAUUCCAAAGGGCAUGCCUGUUCGAGCGUCAUUUGUACCCUCAAGCUUUGCUUGGUGUUGGGCGUCUUGUCUCUAGCUUUGCUGGAGACUCGCCUUAAAGUAAUUGGCAGCCGGCCUACUGGUUUCGGAGCGCAGCACAAGUCGCACUCUCUAUCAGCAAAGGUCUAGCAUCCAUUAAGCCUUUUUUCAACUUUGACCUCGGAUCAGGUAG